rnacentral:rRNA from 1 species
CAGCCGCCGCGGUAAUACGAAGGGUGCAAGCGUUGAUCGGAAUUACUGGGCGUAAAGCGUGCGUAGGCGGUGAGUUAAGUCUGCUGUGAAAUCCCCGGGCUCAACCUGGGAAUGGCAGUGGAUACUGGCUCGCUAGAGUGUGUCAGAGGAUGGUGGAAUUCCCGGUGUAGCGGUGAAAUGCGUAGAGAUCGGGAGGAACAUCAGUGGCGAAGGCGGCCAUCUGGGACAACACUGACGCUGAGGCACGAAAGCGUGGGGAGCAAACAGGAUUAGAUACCCGAGUAGUCCCUGUCUCUUAUAC